rnacentral:rRNA from 1 species
AGUGAACGCUGGCGGUAGGCCUAACACAUGCAAGUCGAACGGCAGCACAGUAAGAGCUUGCUCUUACGGGUGGCGAGUGGCGGACGGGUGAGGAAUACAUCGGAAUCUACUUUUUCGUGGGGGAUAACGUAGGGAAACUUACGCUAAUACCGCAUACGACCUACGGGUGAAAGCAGGGGAUCUUCGGACCUUGCGCGAUUGAAUGAGCCGAUGUCGGAUUAGCUAGUUGGCGGGGUAAAGGCCCACCAAGGCGACGAUCCGUAGCUGGUCUGAGAGGAUGGUCGGCCACACUGGAAGUGAGACACGGUCCAGACUCCUACGGGAGGGAGCAGUGGGGAAUAUUGGACAAUGGGGGCAAGCCUGAUCCAGCCAGACCGCGUGGGUGAAGAAGGCCUUCGGGUUGUAAAGCCCUUUUGUUGGGAAAGAAAAGCAGCAGGUUAAUACCCCGCUGUUCUGACGGUACCCAAAGAAUAAGCACCGGCUAACUUCGUG